rnacentral:tRNA from 1 species
GCACGGAUGGCCGAGCGGUCUAAGGCGCCAGACUCAAGCGACAGCUUAACGCGACGGAGCGUUCUGGUAUCGGUAUCGAUGCGUGGGUUCGAAUCCCACUCCGUGCA